rnacentral:tRNA from 1 species
GGAGAGAUGGCAGAGUCCGGCUGAAUGCACCGCACUCGAAAUGCGGCAUACCUUUAUUGGUAUCGGGGGUUCGAAUCCCUCUCUCUCCG